UGGUGGCCCGGGGUCGCGACG
rnacentral:misc_RNA from 1 species